UACGUAGGUGGCAAGCGUUGUCCGGAAUUAUUGGGCGUAAAGCGCGCGCAGGCGGCUUCUUAAGUCUGAUGUGAAAGCCCACGGCUCAACCGUGGAGGGUCAUUGGAAACUGGGAGGCUUGAGUGCAGAAGAGGAGAGCGGAAUUCCACGUGUAGCGGUGAAAUGCGUAGAGAUGUGGAGGAACACCAGUGGCGAAGGCGGCUCUCUGGUCUGUAACUGACGCUGAGGCGCGAAAGCGUGGGGAGCGAACAGGAUUAGAUACCCUGGUAGUCCACGCCGUAAACGAUGAGUGCUAAGUGUUGGAGGGUUUCCGCCCUUCAGUGCUGCAGCUAACGCAUUAAGCACUCCGCCUGGGGAGUACGGCCGCAAGGCUGAA
rnacentral:rRNA from 1 species